ACUCCUACGGGAGGCAGCAGUGGGGAAUAUUGCACAAUGGGCGCAAGCCUGAUGCAGCAACGCCGCGUGAGCGAAGAAGGUCUUCGGAUCGUAAAGCUUCUUUUUCUUAAGGGAAGAAAACUGACGGUACCUAAGGAAUAAGCACCGGCUAAAUACGUGCCAGCAGCCGCGGUAAUACGUAUGGUGCAAGCGUUAUCCGGAAUCACUGGGCGUAAAGGGUGCGUAGGCGGUUUUGCAAGUCAGAAGUGAAAGGCUACGGCUCAACCGUAGUAAGCUUUUGAAACUGCAAGACUAGAGUGCAGGAGAGGAAAGUGGAAUUCCUAGUGUAGAGGUGAAAUUCGUAGAUAUUAGGAGGAACACCAGUGGCGAAGGCGACUUUCUGGACUGUAACUGACGCUGAUGCACGAAAGCGUGGGGAGCGAACAGGAUUAGAUACCCGUGGUAGCACAGAG
rnacentral:rRNA from 1 species